GUGCUCGCUUUGGCCACACAUAUACUGAAAUUGGAAUGAUACAGAGAAGAUUAGCAUGGCCCCUGCACAAGGAUGACAUGCAAAUUCGAGAAGCAUUUCAUAUUAAA